UAUACGAUGAAGAGUUUGAUCCUGGCUCAGGAUGAACGCUAGCGGCAGGCUUAACACAUGCAAGUCGAGGGGUAGGGUUCUUCGGAACCUGAGACCGGCGCACGGGUGCGUAACGCGUAUGCAAUCUACCUUUUACAGAGGGAUAGCCCAGAGAAAUUUGGAUUAAUACCUCAUAGCAUAGCAGCUUCG
rnacentral:rRNA from 1 species